UUUAAAGCUUCAUAAAAACGGACAGGUCAUUAUAAUUACAAUUAGUUAUUAUUAUUAUACAUUUUGGUCAAUUACUAUACUUUGGUAGGGGAAAGAUCUUCUUGUACAGGAGAUAUUCUACCUGACCAAGCCUACAAACAUUUAUAAUUUAAAAAGUUGUCAAUUCUAUCGAAAUUUGUUGAGAAACCUUUUCACAAUGCAUUGCCCAGCAUAUGUUCUAUCUGUCUCAUAGUGAUGGUGGCAUCAACAUUUCUGCUAUUUAUUUUGUGAACUAUUCAGAGGAAAAUAUGUGAGAAACAGCAUCUUCUUAACUCUAAAAAAUCUACUGGUAAUAAUGAUAUACCAUAGAGAACAAGUAGACCUUCAAGUUUUUUGCAAGAAGUCAUUGUUGCUGCUACUAUAUGUUCAUCCAUAAUGGGUGCACUUUCUACACUUCUUCCACUCCAUACUUUAGCAGCCUCCCAUUGUUCAGUCCUGACACACCUUUCCACAUAGAAGUGAAGUACCGUCUUUCCGCUUCCGGAUCGUGAAAGCUAAUCAUUUGUUCACCCUCUCGAAGAAAAUAUUGUUCGCAGCUAUCAAAGGAGAGAACCGUCAAUCCGGUGUCUAAAUGAACGUCGGCGCAAAGUGCGUAGUACCAAAAUCUAGUUUCUUCUUAUUCAUUACCCAAUUCACGCAAUUGGGUGAUCACUUCCGAGUGACGACAAGAGAUCAUGAGAAGAUGAGCCAAUCGGGGAAGGAUCAACAGUUUCAGGAAUGUGGAUCC